AUUGAACGCUGGCGGCAGGCCUAACACAUGCAAGUCGAACGGGUGGCGGGCGGGAGAGUAAUGUCUGGGACACUGACUGAUGGAGGGGGAUAAGUACUGGAAGCUGAUACUGCUCACGCAUUCCAGCGGCUAGGCCGAGAUGGGAUUAGGGAGUAGGUGGGGGAAAGGCACACAUAGGCGACGAUCCCUAGCUGGUCUGAGAGGAUGACCAGCCACACUGGAACUGAGACACGGUCCAGACUCCUACGGGAGGCAGCAGUGGGGAAUAUGGGACAAUGGGCGAAAGCCUGAUGCAGCCAUGCCGCGUGUAUGAAGAAGGCCUUCGGGUUGUAAAGUACUUUCAGCGGGGAGGCGUUACCCGCAGAAGAAGCACCGGCUAACUCCGUGCCAGCCGCCGCGGUAAUAC
rnacentral:rRNA from 1 species